rnacentral:rRNA from 1 species
UACGUAGGGUGCAAGCGUUAAUCGGAAUUACUGGGCGUAAAGCGUGCGCAGGCGGUUAUGUAAGACAGUUGUGAAAUCCCCGGGCUCAACCUGGGGAACUGCAUCUGUGACUGCAUAGCUAGAGUACGGUAGAGGGGGGAUGGAAUUCCGCGUGUAGCAGUGAAAUGCGUAGAGAUGUGGAGGAAUACCGAUGGCGAAGGCAGCCCCCUGGGAUAACACUGACGCUCAGGCACGAAAGCGUGGGGAGCAAACAGGG